AGCUUUGCGCAGUGGCAGUAUCGUAGCCAAUGAGGUUUAUCCGAGGCGCGAUUAUUGCUAAUUGAAAACUAUGAGGGAGGCAAUAUUUUAAUAUGUACUUUACAGAAAACUCAGGUCUACAAAAAUUAAAUAAGUAACCCAAGGUG